GAUGAACGCUGGCGGCGUGCUUAACACAUGCAAGUCGAACGAAGCAUACAGUAAGGAUUUCUUCGGAAUGAAAGACAGUAUGACUUAGUGGCGGACGGGUGAGUAACGCGUGGGUAACCUGCCCCAGACCGGGGGAUAACAGUCGGAAACGGCUGCUAAUACCGCAUAAGCGCACGGUACCGCAUACAGUGUGAAAAACUCCGGUGGUUUGGGAUGGACCCGCGUCCGAUUAGUUAGUUGGUGAGGUAACGGCCCACCAAGACCGCGAUCGGUAGCCGACCUGAGAGGGUGACCGGCCACAUUGGGACUGAGACACGGCCCAGACUCCUACGGGAGGCAGCAGUGGGGAAUAUUGCACAAUGGAGGAAACUCUGAUGCAGCGACGCCGCGUGAAGGAGAAGUAUCUCGGUAUGUAAACUUCUAUCAGCAGGGAAGAUAAUGAACGGUACCUGACUAAGAAGCCCCGGCUAACUACGUG
rnacentral:rRNA from 1 species